GGUCCGCGCCUCCCUCCCCUCCACCCAGACUCUCUGCUCCCGGCCUCUACAGCCCGCUCGCAACCACACACCCAUGGCUAGGGUUUCGGGCAUGGCUUCGCCGGCGUGUCUCCGGUGGUCCCAGUUGGGGCACGCCAUGGGAGUUCCCCAUCCAUCACGGUCGCCGUUGUCAAGGGAUUCUUCAAGGAGAUGUCAAGGACGCCAUGGACAUGCAGCUCCUCAAGCGGAGGAUUGGGCCUCGCAUUAUUUUUUCCAGAAUUGGGUGUGGGUACUCUCUAAACUGGAUUGAGUGAGCUAAAUCUGUGCAUCAAAAUUGUAGUCUGUAGCUUUAUGUGUUACGUCUUAAGAUUGAACUUGAAGAUUGCUUUUGGGAGUAGUUUUAGUUGGUAGAUGUUUCAGGCUCCAAAUACGCACACAUUAUGUGCUUAAUGUGUGGCAUAAACAUGAUCAGUUUUAUGCUUAGAAACCAAACCACUUUCCACCCAUUUUAUUUCUUCAUGAGUAUUUUGUGUUGAAAUCAGAUCACCGUUCACCUGUUCUCGUACUGUUGUCUUUAACUUAUUUUGCCGAUUCUCAAUAAAAUGCUCAGUUCAGGAUGUGAUUUUCAGUUUUAGGCAUUUGAUACUUUUGGCACUGAGCAAAAAAAAUUCCUCUGAGCGUGUACCUUCAAAUGCAAAGUUCUGACUAUGAUUUCGCAUGCGAUCACACCGCC